ACUAAGUCCACUUUGGAAAAAAAAAUACUAAGUGCUCAUGAAGGGACCUUGUGAAUGAUAAUGUACAAAGUUACGGAUGCUGAGAAGCCAAAGGUCAAAAGGCUGCAUCUGUUAAGAGCCUUCUUGCUGAUGGAAACUUUGAAGAGUCCCAAGAUGGCACAGGAAGCAACUUGAAUUUUGAGAGUAAAUCAAGAAAGAAGAAGACACUGAUUCAAGAAGAGGCCACCUAACAUAACAGGUGAAUCCCAGGAUCAUGAGGAAUGGGCCCCAAGAAGACAGUUCGACAGUGCUAGGGAGCACC